AAAGCAUGGAGAGUCUGAGGACAUAUGGGGUGUAACCGAGUUGGAACUCGAUGAGAUCAUGGGUUUCACAUUGCCAUUAGGAUAGAUUUUUCCUUUUGUGCGCAAUUACCUCUUUUCAGGAAUUGCUUUCUUUUGUAUCGCUCAAUUUGAGCCACACUUGUUCAAUCAAUAAAAUGCAUAUUCAGUCAAAUAAUUUUGUUUUUGUUUUUCAUUACCGCUUUGAUUGCAAAAACAUCCGAUUGUUUUGAUAAAGAAUCUU
rnacentral:lncRNA from 1 species